GGGGUUGUACUGGUUUCGACGGGGGUUUUGAAAUUGUGGCAGCCAUUCGCAGACUAGGACUGCGUCAUCAACUUAGAACUAAAAAUAAACGCAAACGAUAAUUACGAAUUAGCAGCUGCUUAAUUGCAGCUCUUGUCGGCUCUAGGCAUCCCGCUGCUUAGAAUACCGGCAUCAUAUUAGCGGGGACCUCCAUCUUCAAAGCUUUGAGAAGGUGGAAGAAACAUGAAGCUACCGAAACCGGGAGCCUGUCAAUCGGCGUCCGGUAGAGGGAACAGUGAACUUCGGGUUCACAUAAAAGAUUGACUGUAAUGGGAGAAGCUGCAAUGGAAGGGCUUUCGGACAGGGGUUCGACUCCCCUCAGCUCCAU
rnacentral:tmRNA from 1 species